rnacentral:rRNA from 1 species
AACGAACGCUGGCGGCAGGCCUAACACAUGCAAGUCGAGCGGACCUUUCGGGGUCAGCGGCGGACGGGUGAGUAACGCGUGGGAAUAUGCCCUUCUCUACGGAAUAGUCCUGGGAAACUGGGGGUAAUACCGUAUACGCCCUUUGGGGGUAAGAUUUAUCGGGGAAGGAUUAGCCCGCGUUGGAUUAGGUAGUUGGUGGGGUAAUGGCCUACCAAGCCGACGAUCCAUAGCUGGUUUGAGAGGAUGAUCAGCCACACUGGGACUGAGACACGGCCCAGACUCCUACGGGAGGCAGCAGUGGGGAAUCUUAGACAAUGGGGGCAACCCUGAUCUAGCCAUGCCGCGUGAGUGAUGAAGGCCUUAGGGUUGUAAAGCUCUUUCAGCUGGGAAGAUAAUGACGGUACCAGCAGAAGAAGCCCCGGCUAACUCCGUG